AGGCAGGUGGCGGUGGCGGGG
rnacentral:misc_RNA from 1 species